rnacentral:lncRNA from 1 species
UGAAAGCCAGGCCACUGACUGAAUGAUUAAGUCUGUGCUGGACAUGACAAUGAAUUUAACCCUCUUGCCAGCCUAGGAGAGCACACAGAUGCAGGAAGAGGAUUGAAAACCUACUUUUCAAUUUUCUCUUCUUCCUCACCCCUGCUCUAAUUUGCCUGACCUGUUUCCUUUCAAAACCUUGCUGUUAUCAGUACCUUGUCCAUUUUCACUCUGUUUCUCUUUGUAGACUAAUUCCUUGCUGCUUCCUCAUGGGAGAUAAACUCAUGCUCAUGUAAGAAGAACAUCUGUCUUGGGCUAGGAGGAGCACAGGAAGAUGCCUUUAUCUCAAGAGCUAGGAAAUAAGGCAACUGUAUUAAAUUGUCAAGGGAGGACAGCAGACCAACAAGGAUGAAGAAGCUUGAAAAAUUCUUCAUUGCAGGGUCCACUCAUUGUCUCUAAUGAUUUGCUGCUCCUCAAAAGAAUGUCUACACUCCCGAUCGCCCCUUUUGCCAUGAGAAAAGUUGAUUUUCACUGAACCUUCAGAGGGUGAAGAGGAAGCUUUUCCUUGACUUCUACACAGGCUGGAAAUAAAUAACCUCCGCUUAGGACACCCCUGGCAGGGGCUUUCCAAACCACUUCCAACCCUGGAGAGAAAGAUAAUGAUGUGCCCAAACAAAUCAAUGGUCCCUACUUGCACCUAUCAAACUGGCCAUGCCCAUGCCCAUUCUGGGCCCAUAUGGAAGCUCUCUUUGCACCUUUUGGUUGACCUCUGAGGAGCAGCUUGGAUACCUUCUUCCCCUUAACACUGUAGAGGCUCUCUGCAACAGAACUCCCUACAUCUCACAGCACCAGCCUCCGUUCUCCUACCAAGUGUGAUUUGUGUGUCUAGCCUUCUCUAGGACUUCUGCCAGAUUGGCCUCUCUUCAGGUACAGCUAGGAGAGCCACAUUCAAAACCAAGAAGAGAAAGGAGUCAUAGAGCCACAGCCAGAAUGUUUAGGAUCCAAGGUGGCUGCCAGGACUCCAGAUGUCACAUCCCUUUCCCAAGCAGCAGGAUGGAGAGAGAAAGAGAGAAGGUCGUCCAGUCUCUCUUUGAAAAGACUUCCUGGAAGAAUUGCACAUCUGCAGAUGUUCCGUGGAGCAUCAUCACCAAAAAUGCACACGAAACUGCCACUAGAAGCAAAUGGAGGAAGCACACAGCAGGACUGGGUGUCUUUAAUUGCCAUUGCGGUGAGAGGUUUAUUUGCUCUUUUAAACAAUUAAUUCUAACGUGUACUUGAGUCGCUAGUAACUAAUAUCUGUAUAGGUAGAAAUACUUUAAAUAAAUGGCAAUGAUCAUACUGGAAUGCACAAAUAACAGGCUAUUUGACCUGGAAGGAGAGUUUCAUAGUCAUUGAAUCUAAUAUGCUUAUUUGACUAACAGAACGUGUGUCCAUCUGCACCACGUGAAUGAUUUGCGGCACAGCCGGGACCUGGCUCAGUUCUCUUGACACAUACAUCAACUCACAAGCACUGAAGUGGCAAGGCUGUUUGCAGAAGACAUUUAAGGCAAAAAUAGAUUGCAUCUUAAAAGUGAGUGAACUCCUUUAUAUGGGAUAAUCUAGGCACUGAUAUCUUUCCUUCCUAAUCAUAGCAAAAUCUAUCUUAUUUAUUAUUUCAGCUAAAGGAAAGGAAAAAUUGAGAUUUGUGUUUUAAACCAUACCUAGAUAGAUGAUAUCACUGCUGCUGUGAAAAAUAUUUUCAAGUCAGUGAUUUGUUACUUAAUUUUGGAAAUUAGUAAAAACCCUGCAAGUCAUUUUUUUUUUUAGCAUUGUUCUUAGUUUUCCAAUCUGCCCUUGAGGUCUUGCCUUUAAUCAUUAAGUAUGUAUGUUAGAGUUUGCUGCAAGAACAUUGAAACUUCAAAUUUGUUUAAAUUAACAAAUUCAAGGCCAACUAGUCAGUAGAUAGAAUGAUGAGGUGAGAGUUGGUGGCCAUCCCAAGCUCUGUGUUAACCAGGACCAAAUCAUUUAACCACUUCCUUGGCACUUCUAUUUGUUAGGUGAGAAUUAAUUGAUUCAUUUAUUCAGUUGUUUUGUACGCUGGAAGAAAUGCUUCAUUCAUUUAUUUCAUUUAUUCUUUAAGUGUCCAAGUGAUGUAUCAAAUACUGGUGAUUAAAAGAAAUUGCACAAAAUAAGACUUUUAAGCUGAGGAGCUCAGAGUUUACUAGAAGCGACACACAUAUAAAAAGAUGAAACACAGACUAACACAUACCCGGCAAGAUAAGAACCAAGUACAGAGUGCUGGAACAGAGGGUACCGUGUCUGUUUAGGUGGCUGCAAAGAUCUCCAGGACGUACCCAGGUGCAGAAGCCAUGCAGGCAUGAAGCCUGAGGGUUGCAUCUAUGGUAACAGCAGUACAGUGCUAUCUCCAAGGAACAGGAGGACAUUCUGAGAGAGGACAAUGUAGAGUUUGGUGGUACAACGGCAGUGGAUGACAUGGGAUAGAAUAAGAUGAGAUAGAAAUUUUGUGACAGGCCAGGUGCGGUGGCUCACGCCUGUAAUCCCAGCACUUUGGGAGGC